UAGAGUUUGAUCCUGGCUCAGAACGAACGCUGGCGGCGUGCCUAACACAUGCAAGUCGAACGGGAAUGUCGGGGCAACUCGACUAGUACCGUGGCGCACGGGUGAGUAACACGUAGGUAACCUACCUAUCAGUGGGGAACAACUUCGGGAAACCGAGGCUAAUACCGCAUACGUCCCGCUGUCGUAUUGAUAGCGGGGGAAAGGUGGCCUCUACAUGUAAGCUAUCGCUGAUAGAUGGGCCUGCGUACCAUUAGCUAGUUGGUAGGGUAACGGCCUACCAAGGCGUCGAUGGUUAGCUGAUCUGAGAGGACGAUCAGCCACACUGGCACUGGAACACGGGCCAGGCUCCUACGGGAGGCAGCAGUGGGGAAUAUUGCGCAAUGGGCGAAAGCCUGACGCAGCAACGCCGCGUGAGUGAUGAAGGCCUUCGGGUCGUAAAGCUCUGUCGGCAGGGGCGAAACUCCGGUGGAAAUAAUACUCCAUCGGUUUGACGGUACCUGCAAAGGAAGCACCGGCUAACUCCGUGCCAGCAGCCGCGGUAAUACGGAGGGUGCAAGCGUUGUUCGGAAUUACUGGGCGUAAAGCGCGUGCAGGUGGGCUAAGUAGUCGGGUGUGAAAUCCCUCGGCUUAACCGAGGAAGUGCGCCCGAAACCAUUAGUCUAGAGGUCCGGAGGGGAUCGGGGAAUUCCCAGUGUAGAGGUGAAAUUCGUAGAUAUUGGGAGGAACAUCGGUGACGAACGUGCCGAUCUGGACGGAUUCUGACACUGAUACGCGAAAGCAUGGGGAGCAAACAGGAUUAGAUACCCUGAUAGUCCAUGCUGUAAACGAUGGGUACUAGUGUCGGGGGUUUUGACCCCCUCGGUGCCGACGCAAACGCAUUAAGUACCCCGUCUGGGAAGUACG
rnacentral:rRNA from 1 species